UACGUAGGGUGCAAGCGUUAAUCGGAAUGACUGGGCGUAAAGCGUGCGCAGGCGGUUCCAUAAGACAGAUGUGAAAUCCCCGGGCUCAACCUGGGAACUGCAUUUGUGACUGUGGGGCUAGAGUACGGUAGAGGGGGAUUGAAUUCCGCGUGUAGCAGUGAAAUGCGGAGAUAUGCGGAGGAACACCAAUGGCGAAGGCAAUCCCCUGGACCUGUACUGACGCUCAUGCCCGAAAGCGUGGGGAGCAAACAGG
rnacentral:rRNA from 1 species